AGACCUGGUGGUCAGGGGUGGCUAGUGACCAUGAGGUCAUGGACUUGGUGGUCAGGGGUGGCCAGUGACCAUGACUUCAUGGGUGGCCACCAGACCUGGUGGUCAAGGCUGGACAGUGACCCCAAGAUCGUGGACCUGGUGGUCAAGAAUGAACAAUGACCACAAGUUCCUGAGUGGCCACCAGGAUCUGGUGGUCAAGGGUGGACAAUGACCACAAGUUCAUGGCUGGCCACCAGACCUGAUGGUCAAGGGUGGACAGUGACCAUGAGGUCAUGGACAUGGUGGUGAAGGAUGGACAAUGGCCACAAGGUCAUAGGUGGCCACCGAACCUGGUGGUCAAGGGCUACUGAUGACCACAAGUUCAUGGGUGACCACAGGAUCUGGUGGUCAAGGCUGGACCAUGACCACGAGGCCUUGCAGCCCCUGAGGCCAGGGGGUUCCCCUGAGCCAAACCUGGACUCUGGAGCCUCAUUCCCUCCUGUCCCUGUGUCCGUCUGUCUGUCCGUGUCCCUGUCCCCGUGCCCGCAGGGCUGGUGCAGCGCUGUGUCGUCAUCCAGCGGGACCAGCAUGGCUUCGGCUUCACCGUCAGCGGCGACCGCGUCGUGCUGGUGCAGUCCGUGCGGCCAGGUGGGGCUGCCAUGAGGGCUGGGGUGCAGGAGGGCGACCGGAUCGUCAAGGUGAACGGGACGAUGGUGACCAACAGCUCCCACCUGGAAGUGGUGAAGUUGAUCAAGUCUGGUGCCUACGUGGCCCUGACCCUGCUGGGGUCCCCCCCUGGGUCCGUGGGGAAUUCGGGAUCACAGCAGGAGCCAGAGCCCUCAGGAUGUCCCCAGGGGCCCCC